rnacentral:rRNA from 1 species
AACGAACGCUGGCGGCAGGCCUAACACAUGCAAGUCGAGCGAGCAUUUCGGUGCUAGCGGCGGACGGGUGAGUAACGCGUGGGAACGUGCCCUUUUCUGCGGAAUAGUCCUGGGAAACUGGGGGUAAUACCGCAUACGCCCUUUUGGGGAAAGAUUUAUCGGAGAAGGAUCGGCCCGCGUUGGAUUAGGUAGUUGGUGGGGUAAUGGCCCACCAAGCCGACGAUCCAUAGCUGGUUUGAGAGGAUGAUCAGCCACACUGGGACUGAGACACGGCCCAGACUCCUACGGGAGGCAGCAGUGGGGAAUCUUAGACAAUGGGGGAAACCCUGAUCCAGCCAUGCCGCGUGAGUGAUGAAGGCCUUAGGGUUGUAAAGCUCUUUCAGCUGGGAAGAUAAUGACGGUACCAGCAGAAGAAGCCCCGGCUAACUCCGUG